rnacentral:rRNA from 1 species
GAUGAACGCUGGCGGCGUGCCUAAUACAUGCAAGUCGAGCGAACGGACGAGAAGCGUGGGUCGCUGAUGUUAGCGGCGGGCGGGUGAGUAACACGUGGCUAACCUACCUCUAAGGCAUAAAUCAGGGCGAGAAAGCGGAACUAAGACCGGAAGAGACUUUGAACCGGAUGGUGCUGAAGUGAAAUACGGUCUUGGUGUGACUUAUAGAUGUAUCCGCGCUGCAGUAGCUAGUUGGUAAGGUAACGGCUUAACAAGGCAACGAUGCAUAGCCGACCUGAGAGGGUGAUCGGCCACACUGGAACUGAGACACGGUCCAGACUCCUACGGGAGGCAGCAGUCGGGAAUCUUCCGCAAUGGGCGAAAGCAUGACGGAGCAACGCCGCGUGAGUGAUGACGGUCUUCGGAUCGUAAAACUCUGUUAUUAGGGAAGAACAUAUGUGUAAGUAACUGUGCACAUCUUGACGGUACCUAAUCAGAAAGCCACGGCUAACUACGUG